rnacentral:rRNA from 1 species
AACAGGAUUAGAUACCCUGGUAGUCCACGCCCUAAACGAUGUCUACUAGUUGUCGGGUUUUAAUUAACUUGGUAACGCAGCUAACGCGUGAAGUAGACCGCCUGGGGAGUACGGUCGCAAGAUUAAAACUCAAAGGAAUUGACGGGGACCCGCACAAGCGGUGGAUGAUGUGGAUUAAUUCGAUGCAACGCGAAAAACCUUACCUACCCUUGACAUGUACGGAAGGCCGAAGAGAUUUGGCUGUGCUCGAAAGAGAGCCGUAACACAGGUGCUGCAUGGCUGUCGUCAGCUCGUGUCGUGAGAUGUUGGGUUAAGUCCCGCAACGAGCGCAACCCUUGUCAUUAGUUGCUACAUUCAGUUGAGCACUCUAAUGAGACUGCCGGUGACAAACCGGAGGAAGGUGGGGAUGACGUCAAGUCCUCAUGGCCCUUAUGGGUAGGGCUUCACACGUCAUACAAUGGUACAUACAGAGGGCCGCCAACCCGCGAGGGGGAGCUAAUCCCAGAAAGUGUAUCGUAGU